GACGAACGCUGGCGGCGUGCUUAACACAUGCAAGUCGAACGGAAAGGCCCUGCUUUUGUGGGGUUCUCGAGUGGCGAACGGGUGAGUAACACGUGAGUAACCUGCCCUUGACUUUGGGAUAACUUCAGGAAACUGGGGCUAAUACCGGAUAGGAGCUCCUGCUGCAUGGUGGGGGUUGGAAAGUUUCGGCGGUUGGGGAUGGACUCGCGGCUUAUCAGCUUGUUGGUGGGGUAGUGGCUUACCAAGGCUUUGACGGGUAGCCGGCCUGAGAGGGUGACCGGACACAUUGGGACUGAGAUACGGCCCAGACUCCUACGGGAGGCAGCAGUGGGGAAUAUUGCACAAUGGGCGGAAUCCGGAUGCAGCAACGCCGCGUGCUGGAUGACGGCCUUCGGGUUGUAAACCGCUUUCGCCUGUGACGAAGCGUGAGUGACGGUAAUGGGUAAAGAAGCACCGGCUAACUACGUG
rnacentral:rRNA from 1 species